rnacentral:rRNA from 1 species
UACGAAGGGGGCUAGCGUUGCUCGGAAUCACUGGGCGUAGAGCGCACGUAGGCGGAUUGCUAAGUCAGGGGUGAAAUCCUGGAGCUCAACUCCAGAACUGCCCUUGAUACUGGCGGUCUCGAGUCCGGGAGAGGUGAGUGGAACUGCGAGUGUAGAGGUGAAAUUCGUAGAUAUUCGCAAGAACACCAGUGGCGAAGGCGGCUCACUGGCCCGGUACUGACGCUGAGGAGCGAAAGCGUGGGGAGCGAACAGG